rnacentral:lncRNA from 1 species
GGCCUAACCACCUAGGCACGCAGUACAGAAUAUAAGACAUUAUAGUCUCUUGGUCACUAGCUACUCAUCUCUUGGUCUAGCCCUUGAAGCCAUAAGAGCAACAUUAGUAUGGAAAUACUUUUUCAUUCUCUCAUAGAAUACUAGAUACACACAGGUCCUAGGGAUGAUCACAAGCAGACAAUGUCAGCAGCCUCCUUAGGAUGCAUGGAACCAAGACUCCAGGAUAGCUUCAGUGAUGGAGAGCAGACGUGCCCAGCUGUGGCCUUCAGUGACUAAGAGCUUGGAGCAUGUCAGAGAUGCAGCAACACAAGAGUAUGUCUUGAGUUCUUCAAUGGCAUAAGAGACAGCUCAAGAGCUUGAAGUAAAAAUCGCAGUACACUUUUCUGUUGGCACUACCUGUGGCUCAGCCUCAUUCAAUAGACCUCUCUCUUCUGUCUCUUUCUCAAUACCCUUCCUUCCCUUUGUUUGCGUCCUUACUUCCCUUCUCUUUCCCUUUCUCCCUGCAGCCCCGUCCCCUGCCUUUCCUAUAUUUAC